CUACUAAAUGCAUUUAAUAUACAUUUAAACUACAAUACAUUCUUAUUUAAUUGCAAAUAACAUGCAAUAAAGAGUAUGAAAACAUCACAUUCAGAUAUAUUCUUUUAUAUUUUAGAAAGGAAAAAAGGAAACUACAAUCUUCUACAAAUGAAUCAAAUAUGACUGUUAUGAGUCACUAUGAGUACGCACAGAAUGCAACACAAUAAUAUGCAAAGAGUAACCCGGAUGCCACAUGAAAUCGACAGUUCAGGAGGCAAAACAGUUGGCCAUGCCACGUGGAAGACAAAGGGUAUUUUAUAUGCAAUCUUAUAUGCACAUAAUGCAGAAUGAAAAGUUAUUUUCUAUGGAAAAUUUAAACCGAAACCUACAAUAUUACAGUGAUGAACUUCCUUUAUUGCUGAAUGGUGUGUUGGUGAAUUUUGAUAGUGUUUGAAAGUGUGUUUAGCAUUAGCCUGUGUGGCUAGGUCUCGUGGGCAAGGCGAAUGUUUGUGUUUUGGUUUUAAAAACCUGAUGUCAUCAUCAUAUUGUGGAGGACAGUGAUAGAACAAAAAGAUCAGUGUUACUAUUUGGUUAAUGUCAUUGUAAGUUUCUGGUCAAGUCCUUUGCCUAAUCAAAUAUGUUUUAGAUGGGAUGGAGGACAGGCACAUCCAACAGAUCAGAGCACAGUGCAAUCAGAUAAAUAUCGAAUCAGUAGGGGCUUCUGGAUUGUUUAGCAUGAAUUUUGGAUUGCUAAGGUCAUGCUUAGGAAAUGUUUAGUAAUUGGAAUAAUUCUUGAGUCUAAAAAUAUUUAGCUAUAUCCUCUGGUUCGCCGUUUUUAAACUUUCAUUUUUUUUCUUUUCAGGUCCCAGUCCAAUGUGAAGACACUAUUUCAGUUCAGUGUCAGGAUGACCAAUUCGGGUUGGAUGCUGAAGUGGUUUAUGAUGAAAAAAUUUUUCCCUUACGAAGGUGCAAUCCAUUUGUGACUGAGUCAUAUCACAGGGGACGAGUUCCUGGGCAGAAUCAGGAUACUGGUGUGUCUCCAGGAUUCAUAGCACCUGAUGGCAUGGGCGGCAAUGGCCAAGAGCUGAUGAACAGAGAUGAACGCUAUAAAAAAGAGAAGCGUGUGCAUCCAAAGGGAAAGAAGAAAAAGGUUAAGAGAGGCGAGAACACAGCUUCACCAUUAAAGAGGAAAAUCAUCCAGUCAGCAUCUGACAGUAACAAAAUGUGAUUUGAUUAAUAAGAUAAAUAACACCUAUUUUCUUGUUUAAAGUGAUAGUUCACCCAAAAAUUCUGUCAUUAAUUACUCACCCUCAUGUUGUUUCAAACCCGUAAGACCUUUGUUCACCUUUGGGACACAAACUAAGUUAUUUUUGAUGAAAUGCGAGAGCUGUCUGACCCUGAAUAGACAGCAACAGAACUAUCACGUUCAAGCCCAGAAAGGUAGUAAGAAGAAUCAUUAAAAUAGUCCAUGUGGCAUCAGUGAUGGACAGCGUUGCUGUCUAUGCAGGGUCAGAAAGCUCUCGGAUUUUAUCGAUAGCUUAGUUUGUGUUCUGAAGAUGAAUGAAGGUCUUACAGGUUUGGAACGACACAAGGGUAAUUAAUUACAGAAUUUUCAUUUUUGGGUGAACUGUCCCUUUAACGUAGCAUACACACUGCUUUUCUAUAAGCUUAAGCAGCACUUAAAAGCUUUAUAAACUUUGAAUCUAUAACUCUAACUUUCUGUACUCUUUAAAUAUAUUCUUUCAAAAGGACAAUAAAAGCUGUCAUUCAUUAUCGUAAAUGGAAAAG
ensembl:lncRNA